CACGUCGUACGAGUUGUCGCACGGUUGUGAUUUUACCGUUUUGAUAUCGAUUGGUCGAAAGGACGACAAACGGACGACAAACACUCGACAUGCUCGACAUGGUUUUUUUCAAUCGAUUUACCUUCAAUUCGACGUCGAUUAUCGUCGACGCAAACAGUUUGACAGUUCUCUUCUGUUGAUCUUGUUCGGACUUGAUUGCAACCGAGUCGAACCAGUUGUUGUUGCUUUUAGGCUUUUGGAGGAUUUUGGACAGUUAAUAGGCCGGAGUGGGCGAGCGACCGAAUCAAAGUGUCUUGUAUUCCAGAUUUCGGUCUUCGUGGCGGAGGAGGAGGAGGACGGGAAAUAUGGUUUACUCGGCGGGCCAUUCCGGAAGACGGGACGGGAAGGAACCAAUUUGCGAUCGUGGAAGCGGUUGGUGUUUGGUGUUUGGUGUUUUACCGUCCGCGGGAGGUUGCGACGCAUACCUAAUGGAACUGGCAACAAACAUAUUCCAAUCUGAUUCUGCCGGAAACCGAAAUGCGUUCCCGUGUGGUCACUCGUGGCUUCCGUAGAAUCCACGGAAGCAGCCCCGUUUUUUUCGUACUCGUACUCCACAAAACCCACGUUUCCUAGUACUCCGGUAAACAUCAAUCCGUCGGAGAUCCAAGAUCGUCGCCAAGGCGUCGCAUCCGGGUUUUGAUCAGCUCGUCGAGGAACAAAAGUCCAACUCUACCAAGAUGCUGCCACGGCCGCCUCAGAAGAACACCAACACCCAAGCCGGAAGCUGCGGUCAAGGCAAAUCCAGAAGGAAGCCAAGUUGGGGAAGAAUCGGCGAUCCGCAAGUAAAAUUAAGUGUACAAUUAAUAUUUUUGUGAAAUUUUGACAGCUGGAAUAAAAAAAAACAAUAAAAACAAAACAACAGUUUUUUCAACUGCAACAUAACCCAAAAAUCCGAAAUGACAGCACACGACAAUAGCACGACAUUCUAAAUAACAAAACCGUGCGACGUCGGUCGAAUGUCGUACGACAAUGUCGUACAAUUUCGAUUAUCGAUCGCACGACAAAUACGACAUUUUGGUGCAAAAACGUUUGACAUUCGUGCGAUAGUCGCGCGACAUUGUCGUGCGACGUCGUACGAUUGCACGGACGACAAACGACGGACGUCCGACGGACUUUUCAGUCAGGGUAGGUUUUACUGUUUGUGAUUGAAUUACGGUGAUGGUGUUUCGGAUGGAUUCGGAACGAGUGCUGUGAAACUUGUGGACCACAUUGGUUUAGGGCUGGACCACAUUGGUCCUCGGCACCCGUUUGCGAGGAUACCUUUCAAGACGCCAAGAUUGACUCCCUUGCUGGUAUCCCGAACGGCAUCCGUGAGUCUUCUGAGCGAUCACGAAGGAGCAGGAUAGAUUUGGGACCAAAAACCAGUUCCAGCAAACAUCCCUGAUUGAUACACGGAUCAAUAAGUUGCUUUCGGUGCGGCUAAUCCAGCUGUAUUUGGAAAGUCGGCGAUCCAGACCUUUCCGGAAUGGUCAAGGCAACUUUCAUAGGGAACCUUUGUUGGCGAAGCUGGAAACAGACUCGGUUUUGCGUGGAUUUCUUUGGAAAAGGCGGAGCAUCUCGCAGCAUGUUUUGUUUGUAUGAUAACAAGUUGUAUUCUGGAGCAACAUUAGAAAGGGACGGUACGAAAUUGCUCUUACAACCUUCUUCCCAUUUGAACACAUGAGAAGAAAUGCCGUAAGAGCAAUGUCGUACUGCCCCCUUCAAAUGUUGCAUGUUUUUUUAUUUACAUUUUUUUAUUUAGUGUGUUUUCUUUUUUUCAGGUUUAACCCAAGAACAACAAGAUCACCAGAUGAACUCUCGGUUAUCCGACGUUGCACGACUGUGCCGUUUUCCUUCAGAACAAUCUGCAGAACCGACUGCUGAAAUAACCUGGGACCCCACCAUCCGACCAAUGAUUUCCAAAGGAUGGUGGAGAUGGAGCUGAUCGUGCUGUACAGCUUCGGUCAACUCUCUACCGCAGUGGAUGCCUCCCUGAACUGUGUGUUUUCUUCUUCUGUAUAAGUUAAUUCUAAAAUUUGUUGUACUAUUUUCUCUUCAGUUUAAUUUGUUGCUGAUUUAGAAUCCCGCAAACUCUCCAUCAUGUUUGAAUUUAAAAUUCCCAUAUCAUUAGGCCAAUUCAGACAAAAAUAUAAUAUAUAUCAAAUAAAAUGAAAAAAAUAAAUAAGCUGUUUGACCAAAGCAAAAUUAAUGUUUUCUAGCUCAAAAUUCCGAAAAUCCUUGAAAAAAUGAUGUUUAUUCGAAUUGUUACAACUGUUCCCCAAAAUGUAAUGUGCCAUGAAAAAUC